rnacentral:tRNA from 1 species
GCACCGGUUGUAUAACGGCUAGUAUGUCAGCCUUCCAAGCUGAUGAUCCGGGUUCGAAGCGGAGCUUCGAAUGUCCCGGCCGGUGCA